GUGUCAGCCGCCGCGGUAAUACGGAGGGUGCAAGCGUUAUCCGGAUUCACUGGGUUUAAAGGGUGCGUAGGUGGGUUGGUAAGUCAGUGGUGAAAUCCCCGAGCUUAACUUGGGAACUGCCAUUGAUACUAUCAGUCUUGAAUAUCGUGGAGGUUAGCGGAAUAUGUCAUGUAGCGGUGAAAUGCUUAGAUAUGACAUAGAACACCAAUUGCGAAGGCAGCUGGCUACACGAAUAUUGACACUGAGGCACGAAAGCGUGGGGAUCAAACAGGAUUAGAAACCACCGGAGUAC
rnacentral:rRNA from 1 species